GGGCGGGGGAGAGCGUCCCCGUCAGCUGAGAGCAUCCUCACUCGGUCAGUUCCUCGGGCGAGUUACGGGGACGACCUGCGGGAGCACGCGGGCAGUGGCCGGACGCUGAAGCCCAGGAGAGCGAUGGAGACGUAUGCGGAGCAAAGAGUUGUCGAGCAUCCACGUUGUGCCAAGGAUGGUUAGAGCAUGGAGAGGUGCACCCUUUUGGGAGAUGGAGGCAUAUGCAUAGUGGGCCGUGGCUGAGGAUGAGGAUGGAGCAGCUGUGGUCCACCUUUGAGGCCCAUCUCCCUCAAGCAGCUACCAAGCAGUCCUUCCUGUGCAUCGGUGGAUCUGCAGGGAGACAG
rnacentral:lncRNA from 10 species